GACGAACCGUGCGAACGUUAUUCGGAAUCACUGGGCUUAAAGCGCGUGUAGGUGGGGUGGCACGUCGGUCGCUGAAAGCCCCCGGCUCAACCGGGGAAGGGGCGCCGAUACGACCACCCUGGAGGGACGUAGGGGGACCUGGAACUUCCGGUGGAGCGGUGAAAUGCGUUGAGAUCGGAAGGAACGCCCGUGGCGAAAGCGAGGUCCUGGACGUUUACUGACGCUGAGACGCGAAAGCCAGGGGAGCGAACGGG
rnacentral:rRNA from 1 species